AGCGGCGAACGGGUGAGUAACACGUGGGUGAUCUGCCCUGCACUUCGGGAUAAGCCUGGGAAACUGGGUCUAAUACCGGAUAUGACCUCCUAUCGCAUGGUGGGUGGUGGAAAGAUUUAUCGGUGCAGGAUGGGCCCGCGGCCUAUCAGCUUGUUGGUGGGGUAAUGGCCUACCAAGGCGACGACGGGUAGCCGACCUGAGAGGGUGACCGGCCACACUGGGACUGAGACACGGCCCAGACUCCUACGGGAGGCAGCAGUGGGGAAUAUUGCACAAUGGGCGAAAGCCUGAUGCAGCGACGCCGCGUGAGGGAUGACGGCCUUCGGGUUGUAAACCUCUUUCAGCAGGGACGAAGCGCAAGUGACGGUACCUGCAGAAGAAGCACCGGCUAACUACGUGCCAGCAGCCGCGGUAAUACGUAGGGUGCAAGCGUUGUCCGGAAUUACUGGGCGUAAAGAGUUCGUAGGCGGUUUGUCGCGUCGUUUGUGAAAACCAGCAGCUCAACUGCUGGCUUGCAGGCGAUACGGGCAGACUUGAGUACUGCAGGGGAGACUGGAAUUCCUGGUGUAGCGGUGAAAUGGGCAGAUAUCAGGAGGAACACCGGUGGCGAAGGCGGGUCUCUGGGCAGUAACUGACGCUGAGGAACGAAAGCGUGGGUAGCGAACAGGAUUAGAUACCCUGGUAGUCCACGCCGUAAACGGUGGGCGCUAGGUGUGG
rnacentral:rRNA from 1 species